GCGCUUGUAGCUCAGCUGGAUAGAGCGUCAGACUCCGACUCUGAAGGCCGCUGGUUCGAAUCCAGUCAAGCGCGCCA
rnacentral:tRNA from 2 species